rnacentral:tRNA from 1 species
GGUGAUGUGGGUCAAAUGGUAGAGCAUAUGAUUGGCAAGCAUCAGUCUCUGAGUUCAAAACCCAGUACUGCCA